GCCUACAGUGUCCUACAGUGUCCAUUUAAAUUGAACUACUUUAGCCUGAAGUUUGAAAUUCACUUUAGUUAACAAUUCUGCUAGAGAGAGGAGAUGGACAAAGAGAUUUGAUAUUAAUGUGCAUUACCCUGACGUUUGGUGCCCUGUCCACAGGGCCAUGAAAGCAGAAACCACAAGACCAGGUCAAUCCAUGAAGAACACGUAUACAAUGAUUGUAGACCAUGUUUGAACAUAGGAAGACUUAUUCCACCAGGGAGGAUCCGAUCAUUUAUAAAGUAUUUGGAGGUAUAUUCUAAGAGCAAGUGGUCACCAGAAAUGACCAAACAUCUAAAUAGAAGGUCAUUUAUGUGAAUCACUAUAUGUCUAAAUGUGCAUGUAUGUUGGUGUGUUUAAUAGACGGCAGAAACAUUUGUCUUGACCAAAUCAAUUUUGCAUGAUAUUUAAAAAACAAAACUGCGUUAUGGCUGGUGUGAAUUUUGACUAUAAAAUGAUUUGGAAUAAAUUAUUUAGAUAAACCUAAAGGAUGUGAAAAUUGGCCAAACAGUGAAC